rnacentral:tRNA from 1 species
GUUUGGGUAGCUCAGUUGGUAGAGCAAGUGACUGAAAAUCACUGUGUCAGUGGUUCGAAUCCGCUCCUAGACA